rnacentral:rRNA from 1 species
UACGAAGGGGGCUAGCGUUGUUCGGAAUUACUGGGCGUAAAGCGUACGCAGGCGGCUUUGCAAGACAGGUGUGAAAUCCCCGGGCCUAACCUGGGAACUGCAUUUGUGACUGCAUAGCUAGAGUUUGUCAGAGGGGGGUGGAAUUCCACGUGUAGCAGUGAAAUGCGUAGAUAUGUGGAGGAACACCGAUGGCGAAGGCAGCCCCCUGGGAUGUGACUGACGCUCAUGUACGAAAGCGUGGGGAGCAAACAGG